AGUGAACGCUGGCGGUAGGCCUAACACAUGCAAGUCGAACGGCAGCACAGUAAGAGCUUGCUCUUACGGGUGGCGAGUGGCGGACGGGUGAGGAAUACAUCGGAAUCUACUUUUUCGUGGGGGAUAACGUAGGGAAACUUACGCUAAUACCGCAUACGACCUACGGGUGAAAGCAGGGGAUCUUCGGACCUUGCGCGAUUGAAUGAGCCGAUGUCGGAUUAGCUAGUUGGCGGGGUAAAGGCCCACCAAGGCGACGAUCCGUAGCUGGUCUGAGAGGAUGAUCAGCCACACUGGAACUGAGACACGGUCCAGGCUCCUACGGGAGGCAGCAGUGGGGAAUAUUGGACAAUGGGCGCAAGCAUGAUCCAGCCAUACCGCGUGGGUUAAGAAGGCCUUCGGGUUGUAAAGCCCUUUUGUUGGGAAAGAAAAGCAGCAGGUUAAUACCCCGCUGUUCUGACGGUACCCAAAGAAUAAGCACCGGCUAACUUCGUG
rnacentral:rRNA from 1 species